rnacentral:lncRNA from 1 species
UUGAUAGCUGUGGGACUAGGUGUUGCAGCCUUUGCAAUUGAAUAUUUUACAGCUGCAUAUUUCAAGUCUGGAAACUUCUGCAACAAGUAGUCACAGAACAUGUGAAAAUUUCAACCCCUAGCCUUUCAUACUCCUAUAAAAAGGAUUUAAACAGACAAAAUGGGUAGGCGAGAAGCUAGUCUUAUUUUAGGUGUAAGCCCAUCUGCUGGUAAAGCUGAGAUUAGAAUGCUUCAUAGAAAAAUCAUGAUUUCAAAUUAAGCGGAUAACAAUGACUCUCUUGUUUAGCAACCCAAAUAUACAAAGCAGAAGUCAUGCUAGAUUGAGCACCAAACAG